rnacentral:rRNA from 1 species
UACGGGGGGGGCAAGCGUUGUUCGGAAUUACUGGGCGUAAAGGGCGCGUAGGCGGCUCGUCAAGUCGGGCGUGAAAUCUCCGGGCUUAACCCGGAAAAGUCGUUCGAUACUGUUGAGCUAGAGUGUGGAAGAGGCUACUGGAAUUCCGUGUGUAGCGGUGAAAUGCGUAGAUAUACGGAGGAACACCAGCGGCGAAGGCGGGUAGCUGGGCCAGCACUGACGCUGAGUGCGCGAAAGCCAGGGUAGCAAACGGG